CCUACUAAAAACCCUCAACAGACCUCUGCCAAAAACAAAGAGCGCACAGAACCAAUGCCUCCUUUCCACUUGACCCUCCGCUCCGCCCACCGCCGCCACAUCACCCACCGAACCUUCUUCACCGACACCACCACCACCACAAACCGGGUCCGCGACCGCGGCCUCGACCACGUAGUGGAGCGGGAGAAAAACCUCCGGCCAAUCAUGAACAUCAAGAACCUGAUCAAAUCAGAGCCCUCCAAAUCCCUCCCCAUUUCCCUCCUCACCAAAUCCCGCCACUCCCUCCAAAUCCCCACCCGCCCCGUCGACUUCGUUCGCCAAUUCCCCUCCAUCUUCCAAGAGUUCCUCCCCGCCGGCCUCUCCUCCGUCCACCCCCACCUCCGCCUCACUCCGCAGCUCCUCGACAUCGACGCCAGAGAACAGCUCAUGUACCAGACCCACUCCUACUCCCACCAAGCCGCCGACCGCCUCUUCAAGCUGUUAAUGCUGGUCAGGAGCAACAGACUCCCUCUCAACGUCGUCGACCUUUUCAAAUGGGAUCUGGGCCUACCCGAGAAUUAUGUGGAGUCAAUCGUGCCGGAGUUUCCGGAUUAUUUUAAAGUUGUGACCGGGAAGCCGGAGCUGGAGAUGGUGUGCUGGAGUGAUGAGCUGGCCACUUCUGUCAUGGAGAAGAAAGCCAAAGCCAAAGGGGCAGUGCCGGCUGCGUUUCCGGUGCAGUUUUCGAGAGGGUUUGAGAUGGAUAAGAAGAUGAAGAAGUGGAUUGAUGAGUGGCAGAAGCUGCCGUAUGUGUCUCCUUAUGAGAAUGCAGCUCAUCUUUCGUCGCAGAGUGACGAAUCGGAUAAGUGGGCAGUUGCGGUUCUGCAUGAGCUGCUGCAUAUUUUGGUGCCGAAGAAGACUGAUAAGGAGAAUGUAUUGGCUCUUGGGGAGUAUUUGGGGAUACGAUCAAGGUUUAAGAGGGCGUUGCUUAACCAUCCGGGGAUAUUGUAUGUUUCGAGCAAGAACAGGACUCAUACUGUUGUGUUGAGAGAGGGGUAUAAGAGGGGUGCCAUUAUCGAGAAUCAUCCGCUGAUGGAUAUAAGAAGCGAGUACAUUCAUCUGAUGAAUGCUGUGAAAGAAGAUGAUAAAGGGGUUAGUUCGAAGGAGAAGAAGAGGAAGAGGACGAAGGGAGAUGAGGAUGUUAAAGGGGAGGAUGUAGAUGAGGACGAUGACGAUGAAAAUGUGGAAGAGCUGGGAGGGGAGUUGCGUGAUUCGUCUGAGGGUGAAGUCGAGCAUGAUGAGGUUGAUGGUGGAGAGGAUGAGGAGGAGGAUGAAGACGAUGAUGAGGAAGAAGAAGAUAGGAUGACAAGCAUUGUAAUGAACGAUGCUAAUACUAGAGGAAGAAGAGCUAGCAAGUCUAAUUUUGAUGUUACAAGACCUUCCUUAAGUGCUGGAAGAGGAGGUUCGAGUCAAAGAAGAGAUUGGGGAUCCGAUAAUGCUGAGAGAGGGAGGUCAGGUGGAGAAUACCCUGGUAGGAGAGGAAACAGAGUCCCAUCUGCAACUUCUAGGAGAACACAAGCUGAUGUUAGGCAUAAUUUUGGUGAGAACUCUAGAGAAGGAUCUAAUCGCUCCAGAAGCAGGGGAAGAUCUUCACCAGACAAGAAGACUUGUGUGUAGAGAAAGUCGUCUUGACUUCUGCAACAACAUUCUGAUAGGUUUGCUUUAUGUUCUAGAUAUUCAGCGUGGAAAUAUAUUUGCCUGCUUAAUAAUUUUGUGAUUGACUAUGUUAUAGAUACCCUAUCUUGUGUUGGUUUUAUGAGGUGAUAUGCAUAGGACAAACUGUGUUUUCCUCUCUUAAAGGAAUCCUGAAGCUCUUCUUCUUAAGAACAAAAAAGUACCUGUAAAAUCUGUUUUCCUAAACAGUAUAUUGUUGCUCUCCAACAGUCUUUGAGGGAAAUAAAACAAUGAACAUGCAUCUUGUUUUAUGAAAUUUUAAGAUCUGUGGUUUAAGAGAGAAAAGAAUAAGAAAGAUAUAGAAGAGAAUUCCAGUUCUAGAUUAUGUGAUGUAUGACUUUUAAGUUACCAUUUUCGGCUAUAUUUGCCAUUGUUUGCAGAAACCGUAUUACGCUAUCUACCACCUGUUUUCUAAUAAAAAGAUAUCUACUAUCCUUAUGCAUUUGCUGAUCCUGACAGCAAUUUGUAAAGCGGUGAAAAGUAGUUUUUUAUUCCAUCUUCUUAGGAAAGGGGUUGAUUGCUUGAUGAAGUUUUGUAACUUAACAAAAUAUCCUUGUUUUAAGCAUGUCACAACAUUUUUUAAUCCCGUAUCUCUACCCUAUUAGGUUUCCUGAUUAUCUCUGUUUCUGUUCUGGUCUUCUUUAGGUUUAUGCAUUUUUUCUGUUCUUUUCCCAUCUUGUAGUCUUGUUGGUGCAUCUCAUCCUAUCGCAUGGCCGGGUGCUUUUGACUGCAAAUUCUUGCAAUAUGCAUAACUACCAUUUGUUCCUUUUCCUGGUUGUAACUUGUUGGCAUGAUGUGUUGGCAAAGAAAACCUGCAUCCCCCAAAUGUGAUGGAGACACUACUGGAAGAUCUGUGUGCUUGAGGAAACUUUUAUCUCAAAUGGUAGUUAGAAUAGACUGAUACGAGUUGUAAGGGCUUUACAUCUUAUUCUGAUCAGUCUUACUGAUACAAGUUCUUUUGUUUGUUUGUUAGGAAAUGAAUAUGAUCCAUUCUCUUUGAUAUCCUUAGUGAAAAGAUGAAUAUGACCAAUAUACUGGGAUGAUUUUGAAACCAAUGAUUGGAGGAUUUGAAAACGUCACAUGACCGCCGCAGGUUUAAUGAGACCAUCAAUUUGGAGUCUUGAACAUUCUGCUGCGCACAUAUUCAUUACUUUUCUUUAUUUUAAAUUUGUUGUAAGCCUCCAAACAUCAGGAAAUAUUUCACCUUUUCUUUCAAAAAUAAAAAGUAAAAAACAUCCGGAAAUGCAUAUAGAAUCCGUUCUGAAGAUCAAGUUCUAUAGUUUCUGAUGAUUACGAAGUUCCACUAAAUCCUGUAUCU